rnacentral:rRNA from 1 species
GUCGAGAAUCUUUCGCAAUGCCCGAAAGGGUGACGAAGCGACGCCGCGUGUGGGAAGAAGGCCUUCGGGUUGUAAACCACUGUCGGGAGUUAGGAAAUGCAGGUGCGUUAAUAGCGCACUUGCUUGACUAAGGCUCCAGAGGAAGCCACGGCUAACUCUGUGCCAGCAGCCGCGGUAAUACAGAGGCGGCAAGCGUUGUUCGGAAUUAUUGGGCGUAAAGAGCACGUAGGCGGCCUUGCAAGUCAGUUGUGAAAGCCUUCCGCUUAACGGAAGAACGGCAUCUGAUACUACAGGGCUUGAGUACGGGAGGGGAGAGUGGAACUUCUGGUGGAGCGGUGAAAUGCGUAGAUAUCAGAAGGAACGCCGGCGGCGAAAGCGACUCUCUGGUCCGAAACUGACGCUGAGUGUGCGAAAGCUAGGGGAGCAAACGGGAUUAGAAACCCUAGUAGUCC